UACGUAGGGGGCAAGCGUUGUCCGGAAUCAUUGGGCGUAAAGCGCGUGUAGGCGGCCCGGUAAGUCCGCUGUGAAAGUCGGGGGCUCAACCCUCGAAUGCCGGUGGAUACUGUCGGGCUAGAGUGCGGAAGAGGCGAGUGGAAUUCCUGGUGUAGCGGUGAAAUGCGCAGAUAUCAGGAAGAACACCCGUGGCGAAGGCGGUUCUCUGGGACGGUACUGACGCUGAGACGCGAAAGCGUGGGGGAGCGAACAGG
rnacentral:rRNA from 1 species